AAUAUAUUACAAAGGAUAUUUACGUAAUUACAUGUGUUCUCCAACAUAUUUCCGACAAGGUACUCUGACUCAAGGUUAGUUUGUACAUUCUUUUCAAAUCUAUAAUCAUUUAUUAUAAAUUCUCUUAAAAUAAUGGAUAUGAGAUGGGUCUUAAAUGAUCCAUAUAUAUCAGUGCUGAGGGGCUAAAACGCAUGGC
rnacentral:sRNA from 1 species